rnacentral:rRNA from 1 species
GUUUGAUCAUGGCUCAGGACGAACGCUGGCGGCGCGCCUAACACAUGCAAGUCGAACGAGCGAGAGGAGGUUUACUUUCUCAAGCGAGUGGCGAACGGGUGAGUAACGCGUGAGGAACCUGCCUCAAAGAGGGGGACAACAGUUGGAAACGACUGCUAAUACCGCAUAAGCCCACGACCUGGCAUCGGGUAGAGGGAAAAGGAGCAAUCCGCUUUGAGAUGGCCUCGCGUCCGAUUAGCUAGUUGGUGAGGUAAUGGCCCACCAAGGCGACGAUCGGUAGCCGGACUGAGAGGUUGAACGGCCACAUUGGGACUGAGACACGGCCCAGACUCCUACGGGAGGCAGCAGUGGGGAAUAUUGCACAAUGGGGGAAACCCUGAUGCAGCGACGCCGCGUGGAGGAAGAAGGUCUUCGGAUUGUAAACUCCUGUUGUUGAGGAAGAUAAUGACGGUACUCAACAAGGAAGUGACGGCUAACUACGUGCCAGCAGCCGCGGUAAAACGUAGGUCACAAGCGUUGUCCGGAAUUACUGGGUGUAAAGGGAGCGCAGGCGGGAAGACAAGUUGGAAGUGAAAUCCAUGGGCUCAACCCAUGAACUGCUUCAAAA